rnacentral:misc_RNA from 1 species
GCCUUUUAAAUUGGCAUUUUGUAAUUAACGCUACUUUCAACAACCCAUGAACUAGCUACUUCUGCUAAAAAUGCAACUCCAAUGAUACGCUCCUCACUUGUAUGUGAAGUUGCGUGAAGGCAAAAUUUCUAGUGUUUGUAGCUUGGAUUAGAAGGUUGGACUGAAUUGGCAAUUUCUUAUGAUGAGAAACUCUGAUUUGUUGCUGUCAUCUAGUGAUUGAUAUGGACAAUGGUUUGGUGAGUUUGUUUUAAAUUUGGGUUGUGUUGGGUUAGGUUAGGUUGGUUUGGUGAGUUACCAAUCCUCUUCUCUGGGUGUAAAAUUUGAAGAGUUUGCUAAUAAAUUAUAUAUUAAUUUAUAUUGAUUAAAGUGUAUCUAAAG